GUCUUGCUCUGUCACCUAGGCUGGAGUGCAGUGGUGCAAUCAUAACUCACUGCAGCUUCGACCUCCUGGCCUCAAGUGAUCCUCUCACCUCAGCCUCCCAAGUAGCUGAGACCACAGGUGCCAUUCUCUCUCUCUCUCUCUCUCUCUCUCUCUGUUUCUCUCUUUCUCUCUCCCUCUCUCCCUCUUUCUCUCUCAGAAACGGGGUCUCACUAUGUUGCCCAGGCUCAUCUUGAAAUCCUGGCCUCAAGUGAUCCUCCCACCUUGGCCUCCCAAAGUGCUCAGAUUACAAGCAUGAGCCAUUGCACCUGGCCUGAAAUAUUAUUUACCUUGAUUAUUGAGUUUUUUGGUGCCCCUUUAAGUUUUGCACCUGAGGCUGGUGCCUCACCCAACUCACAUUAGCCCCUGCCCUGAUUAUUUCUAACAUGCAAUCCACACCAUAUCAUUAGUUCCUCAGCAAAUACUCUACUAUUAUCACUACUUCACAGUUGCAAAAACUGAGGCACAACUGUGCCCAAUGUCCCAAAGGAAGGAGAAGAAAAAUCUGAACUUGAACCCCAGUUUCUUCGUUUUUUGGUUCAGAGCCUGCCCAGUAUAGCACUACAAUAAGCUGAAUUUUAUAAAUUGGGUUUUGAGUUAAGGAAUCAAAAGCUUCAGGCUUAAGUCCCACCUCUGCCCCAGAGUCUUCUGAGCCCUCCAUUUUCACAGACGUCAGUUGCCCUAGGUGGAACUGGACUUUAAUAUUCUCCACAUCCCUUAUUUUUUCCCAAAACAGUUUACCAGCUUUUUCUUUCCUGAACCAGGAGCAAUAGCAAAAAUUGGGAAUGGGAAGAAACAGGUACCAGCCAGGACACCUGAACGAACUUGGAGCUCAGGAACCCAGGAGGGGAUUGGAGAGAGUGGGGAGACUCCAUGGUCCACAAUGAAUGCUCCUUCCCCAUCCGAAAAAAUCCCCUAGCCCAGUUUUUGGGCAGAUGCCAGACUUUUAUUCUGAAGCGUGGGCCACAACCUAUGAGGUAAUCUUUGGAGCUUCAUUCUGAGGCGGAAUCCCAUUGGCCAGUUGGGGAAGCCCCUCCCAGGAUUCCUGGCGCUCCGCCUUCCCUGAAGCCUAUAAAAGCGCAGGUCCCCGCCUCGGCAGCCACGGGACACCUGCAUCUGCCAACAAGACUGGAAGCAGAAAGGGACAGAGACGGCGAAGUUUGACGGUCUGGAAAGCAGAGACCAGCAGGGCUGACUGCUUGGGAGCGCCUCUCGGGAGGUCCGAGAAGAGAACCGCGAUCUGUUUCAGCACCGGGGCUCAGGACAGUUCCCAGCGGGCUCCGUUUCGUCUCCAGAACCCUGGACAGCUCCUCCAGCCUCCCAAAGUGCUAGGAUUACAGGCGUGAGUCACUGCGCCUGGCCCAAGUCCGGAAUUUUCAACAGGACAUGGGUGUUACUGUGCCCAUGUGACAUUUGGGGAACCCAAGGCCCUGAGAAAGGCAGAAAAAUAACCCACGCAGGGACUCUCAGCCCACAAGUGAAGCUCUUGGAAUGCACUCCCUCCACCUCCAACCAGAGCUCCCCACAACUGACCCUGCCUUCUUCUGCAAGCUCCAUUUCAUCAAGGGAAACGAUCCUUAUUGCCUCACCAUUUCCCACGUGAAGUCUGUAUUGACAUUCUCAUAGACCUGGGAUAUUGUGUCUGCAGCACAUAGUCCAAUUAUUUUCAUGUUAUCUACUGACAGGUCUAUUUGUCUCCCUGUUACACUGUGAGCUCCGUGAGGGCAGAAACAAUGUUAGUAUUUUCACUGCUGUGUCCCCAGCGCCUGGUCCGGGGCCCGGCACACAGCAGGCAUAUAAUAAGCAUGUGUUGAAUCAAUAAAGGCAUCAAAGAAUAAACCAAUACAUCAAUCAAUAAAUGAAUGAAUGGCCUCAGCACACACAGGAAGAUCCUUCUUCUAGGUCUCCCCCAGAGAGAUACUGGAGGGCAAUGGUUGCUGGAGGUGUUUAUUGGGGAAGCAUAAUUGAAUUUGUGGACACUUAAGGGCCGGCCAGCCAACUCACAGCCCCAAGAGAGAGAGCCAGGCUCAUUUAAUUAGCAAUUACAAGGCACUGAUUCCUCAUUAGCUCUGGCAACCCUCGUCUCCCUCCUCAGCCCCAGACAAAUGAAAUCUUUCUCUCUCUCCCAGGAGUACUGCCUCAGUGGGUCCAUUAACAAGCAGAGAAAAUGAGAUUAGAAGACACCUAAAUGCCAGAGGCACUUUAUGAAUGGGCUGAGCAGAGGGAGGUUCAAUGUCUGGGUUAGGUCUAAUUGUGGGAGGUUUCCUGGUCUAUUUAGAAUUGCCCCCUGGGAAUGCAAGGUCUUUCAGAAAGGAAAAGGCACACAGAUAUUGCCUUCUGGGGUCCUCAAUGGAGGAGGACAUUCUGCUAUGGGUGUCUCCCAGUCACCCCAAAUUAAUCAUUUCAAAGUGAACACUCAAUCUGCCCAGCCCCUAGCUUCCUCCCCUGACAUGCCCAUGAAUAUGACAGUCCCUCUACAUGCCCAAGAUCCUCCCCUCCUCAUCCACUCCCCAUGAUCCCCAAGAUGAGUCACUGUGCUCAAAUCCAUCCUCUCUCCUCCAGCCCUCUGCCUCCAUGACCUCCCUCCAGCCCUCUGCCUCCAUGACCUCCGCCUCCCUGCAUGUCCGGAUCUCCUCACUGUCUCCCCUCUGAGCAUACACACACAUACAGCCUGUUCAUUCUCUACAUGCAGCGAGGGGACUUUCCAGAACACACAUCUGACCAAGUUCCACUCCUGCCUGUCACCCUUCCAAGAGCCCCACUGACUGCAGAAUAACGUUCAAAUAUCCGGUUGGGCGUGGUGGCUCAUGCCUGCAGUCCCAGCACUUUGGGAGGCCAAGGUGGGUGGAUCACUUGCACAGGACCACAGGCGUGUGCCACCACACCCAGCUAAUUUUUAUAUUUUUGGUAGAGACGGAGUUUCACCAUGUUGGCCAGGCUGACCUCAAGUGAUCCACCCGCCUCAACCUCCCAAAGUGCUGGGAUUACAGGCAUGAGUCACUGCACCGGUCUAAUUUUUUCAGAGUCUCACUCUUGCCCAGGCUGGAGUGCAGUAGCAUGAUCUCGGUUCACUGCAACCUCUGCCUCCUGGUUUCAAGCGAUUCUCUUGGCUCAGCCUCCUGAGCAGCUGGGAUUACAGGCACGUGCCACCACACUUAGCUAAUUUUUGUAUUUUUAGUAGAGAUGGGGGUCUCACCAUGCUGGCACAGUUGGUCUUGAACUCCUGACCUCAAGUGAUCCACCCACCUCGGCUUCCCAAAGUGCUGGGAUUACAGACGUGAGCCACCGCGCCCGGCCAGCCUUUAUUGAUUCUUUUUAAAGCCACACUAACCUUUUAUUUUCCCCCAAAGACCCCUGGGAGCCCUCAGUUUUUCCUGGCAGUUUCAUCUUUGUACCCCUGACCUCCCCACACACACGCCUAGCUCAGUGCUGGCAUCCAAUAUUCACUUUGGGUAUAAAUGCUUGUGCCUGAGCCUAUCACCUUCAUCACACAGAAAAUCCUGGAGGCCACACACCCCUGUAAAGACGAGCCAUUACCCACAGAGGUCCAACCAACUUACCACCCUCUCCCAGCCACCCCCAAGGACCCAGCUUGCAGCUGCCUGCUCAAUGGCUUUAGAAACUAAAAAAGGUGAAUGAGUUUCCAUCACUGCCCUCCUGGGCUUUGCCGUUAUGGCUGGUUAACUUGACAGAAGAACACAUUAUACUUCAUUUUUUGCUGUUGUCUUGUUGGAAAAAAAAGUGACAGCUGGGUGCAGUGGUGCACACUGUAGUCACAGCUACUCAGGAGAAUUGCUUGAGCACAGGAAUUGGAGGCUACACUGAGCAAUGAUCGCCUCACUGCACUCCAGCCUGAACGACAGAGCAAGACCCUCUUAAAAAAUACGUGAGAGAGGGUGCGUAUGAUGGCUCAUGCCUGUAAUCCCAGCAGUUUG
rnacentral:lncRNA from 10 species